UACGGAGGGGCAAGCGUUGUUCGGAGUCACUGGGCGUAAAGGGCGCGUAGGCGGUGCAUCAAGUCAGGCGUGAAAGCCCCGGGCUUAACCUGGGAAUUGCGCUUGAUACUGAUGCGCUAGAGGAGCGGGAGAGGAUGGCGGAAUUCCCAGUGUAGAGGUGAAAUUCGUAGAUAGUUGGGAAGAACACCGGUGGCGAAGGCGGCCAUCUGGACCGUUUCUGACGCUGAGGCGCGAAAGCGUGGGAGCAAACAGG
rnacentral:rRNA from 1 species